rnacentral:rRNA from 1 species
GAUGAACGCUGGCGGCGUGCUUAACACAUGCAAGUCGAACGGAAAGGCCCAAGCUUGCUUGGGUACUCGUGUGGCGAACGGGGGAGUAACACGUGGGUGAACCGCCCCGCACUUCGGGAUAAGCCUGGGAAACUGGGUCUAAUACCGGGUAGGACAGUUGUUUGGAUGCCAUUGAGGAAAGUUUUUUCGGUGUGGGGUGAGCUGGCGGCGUAUCAGCUUGUUAGGGGGGUAAUGGCCUACCAAGGCGUCGGCGGGAAGCCGGACUGAGAGGGUGUACGGCGGCAUUGGGACUGAGGGACGGCACAGACACCGACGGGACGGAGAAGUGGGAAAUAUUGCAGAAUGAGCGCAGGCCUGGUGAAGAGACGCCGCGUGGGGGAUGACGGCCUUCGGGUUGUAAACCACAUUCGCAAGGGACGAAGCGUUAUGUGACGGUACCUAGUGAAAAAGCCCCGGCUAACUACGUG